GACAGUGUUCGGCAGAAGGAGGGAGAAGCGCAUGAGCUGGCCAAGCCUAGCAGCAGAGCAGUGCCUGUAAACUGCUGGUGUGUCCCCAGGGAAACGAGGGACAGGGGAAACAGCAGAAAGCUGGGCAGCACUGAAACACACAGCACACGAUACAGCCCAAGUCCCCUUGUCUCGAUAGACAGCGCUCUAGAAUCGCGGUGACCUUCCUCCUGCCCUUGUGAGGCUGAAAUAUGUAGCGCAGCUGCAGGACAUAGUUCAUCGUUUAUCAGGGGUAAAUACAGUUCUGGAUGGGAACGGGGAGGUGAAAAGUGUUCGGCACACAGCGUUCGCUCGCGUGUUGUAACUUGCUGCUCUGAGAAAACAGAACGCUUUGUCUUCUGGUAACGCUGGUGCGGGAUCAAACCUGUUGUUAUCUCACACGGAGCGCGAUUAAUAUCGUGACUAAGACUGAGCAGUGCGUCAAAACCGAUCAUCUCUAAGUCUGGUUGGCAAGGCUUUAAAGGAGCUGAAUGAGGUUGUCAGCUGCCUUCUUCAGUGACAGUACAGCAAACUACCCCAUAUAAACCUGUCACUGUAUGUACAGGUGAAAAAUGCAGGAAAGUGAAUGAUGAGAUCUCAUUACCCAGAAUCAGGAUGCAUCUUGCUUGGUGAAAUUAAAAAACAGAAGUGUUCUUCAAAUCCCUAGUUCAGAAGCAUUCAGAGGGAGGCAGUUCAGCAGCACGGGAGAGAUGUGCUAUUCCUAGAAAUCUCCUGACUCAAGUCCCAUCCUGCAUCUGUCAGUGAUUCAGUAGCAUGGCAGUUGUAACUGCACACAAGAACACUUCUGUUAGCAAGCAGGAAGAAGCUGGUUGGAAGCACCAGGAUGAAGAUGAGCUGUGGGGGUGCCGAGGUGGAGAUCACACCUGGUUGGGGCACUGAGGCCAGUGAUGUGGGCAAGGUGGUCAGGACUGCAGGGGGAAAUCUGAGCUGCCUGUCACUGGGUGGGGAAAAGAGAGGUGGAUGCACAAGAAGCAUAAGUUUGAUGGGCAGUUAACGAGGCAGAAAUGAGAGAUAACAGUACUUCAUUUCUAUUUGUUUAUCUAGUAAUUCGCUUAGCUUUUCCUUUAAACAGAAUACUUUGUAUACAAAAGCACUGGCUGCAGCACUUAGAUGCUUUGCACAUUGCAUGUAGACCUCUGUAGGCUUGCUGACAUCGUGGUGACAUGGCUGGAGAGAAGAUGGAUCCCCAGCAGACAGCCAGAUAGCCUCCCAGGGAGAGGUUCUCGAGGUUUGACUACUUCCAUGUGCAUCUACUCAAUUUCACUUUCUCUGCUGAAGAUCUGAAACAAAACAAACCCAAACAAACAGCAACAGCGAAAAGCAAACUCUGCUCUAUUUAUGAAAGUGAUAACGAUGACAUAAAGACAGAAAUAGAACAGAGAGGUGAUUUCAAAAAUGGAGAUGAUGCAUGUAGUUCCUGAAACUAGAGAUUUCUUCCAAUGGCUCUUCAGGGAGAGAAGAAUCUGCUCAAAUUAUCCCAAAGAGAGAUUACAACUCCAGUGAUUAAACUCCUUGGGACAGUAAUGUGCCUAACAAGGCUGAUGCCUGCAAGGGAUGCUUAGUUUCAAGCACAGUUCCAAAGGGAGAAAAGGUCUUCCUGCCAAAUCUGAGUGGUUUUCUAGGCUGAAAUGUUUGCUGAUGACUUUUAUGUGUGAAUAGGUCAUGUCAGCGAGCUAUCUUGCUCAAACAAUCUCAGUUACAUUGGUUUUAUUGCUAACUCCUUCUGACAGCCUUUUGGAGAGAGGAGAGGACUCAUGAAUGCAGAAGUACAUCUUCAUUACUUAUUUCUUUUCCUUUUUACCAGCACAUGAAUCUAAAAUGGCCUUGCUGCCCUCUUACCGUAACUUAAUUGCAUGGAUCGGAAUUUAAUUCAUAUUAAUUUUCUGGCCCUAAAUGUUUGAAGUCCAGAGCUAAUCCAAAGAAUCAUUUUAUUUCAUUAAGGCCUCAUUUUCCCCACUGGUUCUUACUCUCUGUGCCAUGAAUGUUUUGUGACGAUCUUUAUUUUAGCCAUUUAGAGACAGACAUCUGAGCUAUUCUUAGGGAAGUAAAAUGGUUUCUGGCAGUCAGUGCUUGCAAUUUUUUGGAAUAACACAAUUUGUAGCACAGAAAAAUCGGAAAGGCUGGGAGAUCACCAGGGAGUCGAUUACAGGAUGGCGGCGUUGUCCUGAUUCUUCCAUGUUGUAACGCAGGAGAUCCAGCUUGUGACAACCCCAAACCACACCGAAGCCUCGGGCCCUGACAAAACCCAUCCCCCCGUGUGCUCAGGGUGAUCGGUGCAUCCCCACUGAUGUUAACUCCGGUUCAAAAGAGGGCAAGAGCUUCCAGCCAGAUGCACGGGUCUGCGGGGCACGUCUGGGUGCAUGUGGCAUCACCACCAAGCAGAGGCUGUCAUCCAUGGCCCUGCAUUUGGAAGAGCGUUGUAGCAGUGCCACCAACAAGGCUGCUGGGGACAGCCACGUCCCUGCGGUGCUCUUGGGGUACCUCAGCUCUCACUUAAGCAACUGAGCGAACAUCCAGGAAGAGAGAAGGGUGCUGUCCUGCAUGCAUCACUUCCUAUACUUUGCCCAGUCUCUAAUCUGCAGCUGCUGUGGACUUUCAGCACAGAGCUGCUUUGUCUGAAUAAGCAGCAACGGCAUCUAAAGAAGCAAUAGAUUUGGAAACCGAGACAACUGGAGCAAUCACACUUUGAUCUCUGGCAAAGCCCAGGGGCUUGAUUGUUUUCCAGUGGAAGGAGCCGAGAUAAAUGAGUUUUCGGGAGUAGGGAACUCGAGGAGUUGAGGCUGGAGGUGGAUUAGAGCGAAGGGUUAGGGGGUGCACCCUCUGCCGAGGAUAAUGAGGGCAGUCACCAGCGAGCCGCAGGGUCCUCUCACUCCCUGGCACUCCACGGGGCUCACACGAAUUUCGGAGGAGCUGGCAGGAAUGUUUCUUUCCACAGACCUCUGCCACCUCCUUGGAAGUCGAUCAAACCCGUUUUAUUAAAACCUCCCAUUUGACUCCUCGUGUUUUUAUACUGAUUAAGAACCCUGCCUUGGCCAGCUGAACAAGGGGACUGAUUGUAGCUCAGCUGCUUCGUGCUGGAAAAGCUUUGAUCGGGCUGAGUGGGAGUUUAUGUUUAAGGUACUGUAUAAAAUGAAUUUUGGUGAUAAGCUUAUAAACUGAAUUUGAACCUUGCUGGGCUCCAGAGAGAAGGAAUAAACAACUCGAUUUAUAUUCUCCACAGAUACACACCGAGAUGUCCCUUUGACCUUCAGUUAUUUUCCUUGGGGGGUCAAACUGUUUCUUAAACUGUUUGAAAUUAUUUGUCCAGAUUAGCUGUCCAUGCUGAAGAUGGAGAGCUUUCAGGGUGGCUCCCAAGAGCCCUGAAGCCAACUAUAAUGAAUGAGUUUGGUGUUUUACUCUGAGGAGAGAAAAAAAAAAAAAAAAAAAAAAAGAGCUGAAUGAAUUACAGAGCUGCCAAAUAGCCCCGGUUCAUUCACACAAACUUGAGGAUAAUGCGCUUCUCCCGAUCCCAACACGAUAGCAUUAGAAUAGCCUAUUUCAAGGGCAUUCAUGUCUGACAUCUUCUCUCCCUCAUUACUCACCAGCCUCUAUCGUUGUACGCAGCAGUGAGCUGCAAUUAGAAGGCGCUGGGAUCUGACACGAAACCCUGAGGAGCAUGUAGGGUUCGUCUCCCAUUGAUGCCGAAGCUGGGGACCAAACCUGAAGCGGAUCCAAGUGGAAGCGAGGUCAGAUGGUCUGCCUGGGAGAGAUCUGCUUUGGAAGAAGAGGUUGUGAUCUCUCUGGACAAAUGUCUAUGCGUUUUAUCAGAGAAGUCAUCCAGCUGAUGUGCAAGCCCUACAGCUGUAGGAAAAGAGAGUUUAGUUUGUGUUUUCUUGAGGCAGAAGGCUAGAAGCGAGAAGUCCAAGGUUAGGCUCAGUGAUGGCUUUCUGCAUACCUGUCUGAGACACCACAGCACCCUGAGCUUCCACAGCCAUUCCCCCUUCCCUGCCUCAAAAUUAGUCUGCUCCAUUUAUCAUAAUAAAGGGAACAUUUUUUUAAACCUGGCUCACAGUUCAUGCCCUGUGCCUGUGUAUCUGCCUCUUUGUUUCUCCCAGUGACUUGUGACCCUGACGCCCAGCUCCAGCCAAGAGUCACUGAAGUGUAGAGGUUUCGGUAACAUCAAAGUUAAAUCAAGUUUCCAGAAAACUGGGAACUGAGUAGAGGAGAGUGAGUAAUGCUUCAAAUAUUACCUCUGCUGAAAGAGAAGUCUUGCUGGAUCCCAGAGGAUCCCAGUGGGGAAGAGGAAAGGGGGACAGAGAGACACGUAAGAAAUCAGGCCUUAUUUGUUCAUUCUGUUGUGCAUGGUCAAUGUGGGUUUUGUUUUUGAUUUCUCAUCAAAACCUAGUUAUCUAAAGCUUUCUGGGGAUUUGAAGUGUAAGUGGGUAUACCAGCAACCAAAAACUCCUCCCAUUAGUCCUCAUUUGUUCUCAGCAGGGUGCCCAGAGGGGAUCAGAGCUCACUCAGUGUUGACUCUGCACCCUGACAGGACUGAAGUAUAGGCAGCAGAAACGCUGAACAUACCCAGGGAGCAGGACUAGUGGAAGCUGGAACAGACCCAUUAAUCAACCAGUCUCACCGUACGCUACGGGAACGCAAUAAUGCAAGAGGCAGAUUGCAAAGCCUAAUUUGUGAUCUGGGACCCCGUUCUUCGGGGUAAAGUUCUUCUGCUUCUAACCUACCCCGCUGGCUCUGUUUGUAUACAAGUAACUAUGGGAAAGGAUACCAUGCACAGUCGGGCUCUGCAAGCCUUCCGAGAGCGUUAUUGACUUCUCCAAACGCUGCUGCUCAGAAAUCACAGGCUUCCUGCAUGCUCAGCUUCCACCUGGAUAGCUUUACUCUCAGGAUACUCUCUUCAUCACGCAUUAUUUGAUUCUGCUCUGCCCUGAAAUAACAAGGUUUAAUUGGCAAUCUGGCUCUGAUUUACUAGUAUCUCCUUGUGCAUGGAAGGAGACCUCAAAUUCAACGCACUCAUUCUUAAUCAAUGUCAGCUUGGUAUUAACUCCAUGUUAUUACAUUAUUGAUUUUAUUCAUCCCAGGAGCUACAUCAAUUUAUCCUGGAAUUUACACUUCUUUAACAACCAACACAAAUCAAGAACAUUUGUUACGCUUGCAAUGUAGACUGGAAGGUUUUUGGAAUCCGAUCCUUAUUUUCCUUUACAUUUGUUUAGAUUUCCCGUUAAUCUGAAUUCCUAUCUUGCCCCUUUGAACUUUCAACCAACUGUAAAUACUUUUGAUAAAUUUCCCUGCUAAAAACUGCAUUGCAACAUAGUUCUGAAAAAAAUAAAAAUAAAAAUGAUCGGCAACUGCAAAAUACCCACUGCCUUCUGAUGAAUUGAUAUAGCUGGUUUGGGGAAAUAACUGGUUGGGUGCUUUACGUUACACAGUGCCCACAUGUAAACAAUAAAACCUGUUUGUAGUCUCAGUCGUCCAUUUGGUUCCAUUAGACACAGUAUAAUCAUUUGUAGCUUUAACUCAUGUCUUGGAGGUGUGUAGCAAAUUAAAAACAUAGCGAAAAGUUGGUCCUUUUCCACCGCGUUUUACUGGCUGACUUAUUUGAAACAGAUAAAGAAAUUCUGGGAAAGUUCAUUGUCUGUUUCUGUAUUUGUUAGGUCUUCCUCUGGCUGGACUCCGCGAUGGCUGGAAGGAUGAUGUCAGAAGAGUGGGAAGUGAAAGCUGAAGGGGUUUUUGAAGUUGAAGCUGAAGUCGUUUUUUUAUUUAUUUAGUUUUUUAAUUGGUUAAUGUCUACACAGCUGAAAUGAUGAUCUAGCAUUUAGGAGAAAGGAUGUGGGACUUCAGAGCAGUGCCUGCACUGGCCUGGGUGAACAGAGGUACAUUUUAGAGAGCUAAAGCACAUUUAGCGUCCUUCCUCAUUCACAGAGAAACCCACUGCUGGCUGGAGAGCAAGGCACGAGUGUGAACCCUCUCUUCUGUACAGUAAUUUUCCACUGCUGUAUACUCAGCCUGUUGUUUCUGUCUGUUACCUGUGUGCAGUAAACAUAAAACUUUCGGGAUGUACUGUUCCUUAGCAGUAAGAGGAUAGAGACCAGUCAUAAACACAAAGAGGGGCUUUACUGAAAAUAAAAGGGACGAUACAGCUGUGUUUAAGUUAAAGUGCAUGAGUAAGCUAGAAAAGGGAGGAUUGCAAAAUCUGUGUUUCCAUGGCAAUGCCACCCUUCAGUGUUACCUAACACGGCCAGGAUUACAUCAUCAGAACAAACUUUCAUCAGUUCAUCACAGUUUAGCUAUAGGCGACAUGACACUGUGUUGAGCUCAGUGUGGAAGUGACGCUUUUACGAAAAUUUGCAGGGAACCCCAUCUGGCCGUAGCCUGGCACAGGCUGCCUUGGCAGGGAAGGCCACGCCACCCAAAACACUACAUGAAAAAUUCAGAAGUUAGAGGAUUUGUAGGGACUUUCUCUUCAAAGUCACCAAAGCAGAGCUAUCUUGGCCACACAGCUCAGGAGAAUUUGGGGGACAUAUAGCACCAGGAGUUCCCACUUAAACAUCCUUGUUUUGUGUUUCAUGUCAUCACACAGAAGUGAGUGGUGGAUACCCAUGUACCUGAGGGCUUGCAAGAUUUGAAAUGAAGACAUACAGGGGGCAGGGAAGAGAAAACAACCCCAGAAGGGCUGAGGCUGGCAGGGCCCUCUGGAGGCCACCUGCCCCUAACCCUGCCCAAGCAGGGACACCCAGAGCAGGCUGCCCAGGACCACAUCAGGUGGCUUCUGAAGGUCUCCAAGGAAGAGACUCCAGCACCUCUCUGGGAAACCUGUGCCAGUGGGCAGCCACCCUCACAGGAAAAAGUGUUUCCUGAUGGACUUGCUUUGGAUUUGCCUGUGUGGACAAAUGCAUUUUUACUUUGAUAAUACAGCCAGCUUCAUCUGUGCCAGAAGCCUUAUGUGUGAGGCGUUCCCCUAGAGCUGCCUGUGAUACUGAAGUGUUCUGGAGAGGUGUAAGGUGUCUUCUCAGACUGAGAGGUGUGUCAGAAACCCUUCUCCAGGUCAGACCUGGGACCACUGAAGCACCAAGGAGACCACAAACCAGAGCACCACGGCAAUGCUUGUGGCAGCAGGAGGAGAUGGAGCAGCUGUGGAAGGUGUGAACCAUCCCUGCCACUUUUCCCUCCUGCCCUGGAUAAGGGGUGAGUGAGGAGCAAGCAGUGCCUCCACCAGCACCAGGUAUGGCCAUGCAAGGUUAACCCAUCAGCUUUUUUAAACAAACGUGAGCA